AAAAUACAAUAAAAACUGUCCAUCGCACUUGCAUCUGAAUCGGAUGCCUUUGUAUUGUUUUGUAACUUUUUUUGUUUAUUGUUGCAGCUGCUGUUGUACCGUUAUUCAUUUUUGAUGCUUCUUUCUUUUUUGAAGCAAAAUUUUAUUCUGUGAAGUGUUUUUGAAAGUGCAAGUUGUGAAUUUUGAACAAAAGUUAAUAAAAUAAAUUAAUAAAAUAAGAAUAUAGUAAGUGGAAGCAGACAAUUUAAAAAGAAAUGCACAGUUGAGGACGGACUGUUUGGAAAACAAUGAUAUUCUACAAAAUGAGCAGAUUCCAUGCAUUCCAAAAUUGUAGAAGAUUUUGGAAAAUAUGUAAGAAUAUUAAAAACUCUCCGUUAUAAUCCAUUAAUAAUUUAAAUUCUUUCAGCUAUGAUGGUACCCAAAAUAAAAAGGCGUUUAAGGAAUAUAAAUUUUAAUCAUGGCCAUUUUCGAAGCUGUCAUAUGUGAAGGAUUCAAUGAACAGGAUUAGAAAUUGUUUCAAAUUCCCUAAGGCCAGACACUUCCGAACAAUGUCCUACAAUAAAAAACUGGAAAAAUAUUUUUUUUUCCUUUAGUUUAAGCUUUAUUUCUUCCCACGUCUUUUGAAUAUGAUUUAUGAAUUUCGUUUUUAUGCAUUAUUUCUAAUUAUAAUAAGAAUAUUUUAUUGUUGAAAACACUGUUAAUAAUACGAAUAUUUUAAUAAGAGACAGCUGAAAUUUAAGUUCCACAAUCUAAAAUGUUGAUGGAAUCGGACCCAUCCAACCUUCGCUUACAAUGUUGAUAGAUUUCGGACCCAUCCAACAUUCGCUUACGUUGUCGGUCGAUUUCGGACCCAUCCAACAUUCGCUUACAUUGUCGGUAGAUUUCGGACUCGUCUGACGGCCUAGGCCAUCUCUGUG